rnacentral:rRNA from 1 species
UAAGGAGGAUGCGAGCGUUAUCCGGAUUUAUUGGGUUUAAAGGGUGCGUAGGCGGACUGUCAAGUCAGCGGUAAAAUACGGGGGCUCAACCUCCGCCCGCCGUUGAAACUGGCGGGCUGGAGUUGGAGAGAAGUACGCGGAAUGCGCGGUGUAGCGGUGAAAUGCUUAGAUAUCGCGCAGAACCCCGAUUGCGAAGGCAGCGUACCGGCUCCACACUGACGCUGAGGCACGAAAGCGUGGGUAUCGAACAGG